rnacentral:lncRNA from 1 species
UGCCAGGUCUUGGCCCAGCCAACUGCUCAGGCUACCUGGAGCAAAGGUAAGGAGCUGUCCUAGAGUAUAGGUGCUGGACUGGUGUGGACAAGCAGCAGAGUCCCAGCAGGAUGCUGUGGCCAUCCCGGGGAAAACCAAGGCUGGCCCUAUCUCGUCACAGAUGGGGCCCCCCUGGAGAGCAGUGGCCACCUCCUCAUCUCUUCCACCCUGAAGAACUUCCAGCUGUUGACCAUCCUGGUGGUGACCGAGGAGGAUCUGGGCACAUACACCUGCCGUGUGAGCAAUCCGCUGGGGACAGCAGCCAGUACAGCUGUCCUCCGGAAAGCAGAGCGCCCCUCAUCCGCUCCACGCCCAGAGGUGGGGGAAGUGUACACAGACGCGGUGCUGCUGGUCUGGAAGCCUGUGGAAUCCUGCGGCCCAGUGACUUACAUUGUGCAGUGCUGUAUGGAAGGAGGCGGCUGGACCACCCUGGCCUCUGA